rnacentral:rRNA from 1 species
AGUCCACAUCGACGGGGAGGUUUGGCACCUCGAUGUCGGCUCAUCACAUCCUGGGGCUGUAGUAGGUCCCAAGGGUUGGGCUGUUCGCCCAUUAAAGUGGUACGCGAGCUGGGUUCAGAACGUCGUGAGCCAGUUCGGUCCCUAUCCGUCGCAGGCGUAGGAAAUUUGAGAAGACCUGUCCUUAGUACGAGAGGACCGGGAUGGACGUACCUCUGGUGUACCAGUUGUCCUGCCAAGGGCAUGGCUGGGUAGCUAUGUACGGAAUGGAUAAGCGCUGAAAGCAUCUAAGCGCGAAG